rnacentral:rRNA from 1 species
CCUACGGGCGGCAGCAGUGAGGAAUAUUUUUCAAUUUCCUUAAUUCUUAACCCUCCCCUUCUCUUUCUUGACGACUGCCCUAUGGGUUGUAAACCUCUUUUAUAAGGGAAGAAUAAAUGCUACGUGUAGCAUGAUGCCUGUACCUUAUGAAUAAGCAUCGGCUAACUCCGUGCCAGCAGCCGCGGUAAUACGGAGGAUGCGAGCGUUAUCCGGAUUUAUUGGGUUUAAAGGGUGCGUAGGCGGUUUUUUAAGUUAGUGGUUAAACGUCGGGGCUUCACCUUGAUUUGCCAUUAAUACUGUAAGACUCGAGUUCAGACGAGGUAGGCGGAAUAAGUUAAGUAGCGGUGAAAUGCUUAGAUAUAACUUAGAACUCCGAUAGCGAAGGCAGCUUACCAGACUGCGACUGACGCUGAAGCACGAGAGCGUGGGUAGCGAACAGGAUUAGAUACCCGAGUAGUC